rnacentral:lncRNA from 1 species
AGCCAAUCAGAGAUGGAAGUAGUGCUCUGAGGGUGGGCGCCGCUUGGUAUCCACCCUCCUCGCCCUCGGUGUCCUGGAGAAAGGCGGAAGGAAUGCGGACCUUUUUGAAGUGACGGACGCGCCAGCCUAUCAGGGGCGAGCUCAAGAGGGCGGGGCGGAAGACUGCAGGAAUGAAAUGGAUUGACAGACCAACUAACUAAUGAGAGGCUUGAUUGAGAACCUACCCGACUAUCAGAGGACCUGUCCGGGAAGAGAAAUGGGGCUACGUCCAGACAGACUCUCACUCUGUUGCC